GGCAGCUGCGGCUACCGCUGCCCCUCCGUCUGUCGGCACGCCCGUCUACCCGCAGUAUGAGCGGCCAGCGCGUCUACAGCACGUCGGUCACCGGCUCCCGCGAAAUCAAGUCACAGCAGAGCAAGGUGACCCGCAUCCUGGAUGGGAAACGCAUCCAGUGCCAACUAGUGGACAUCUCCCAGGACAAUGCCCUGCAGGAUGAGAUGUGAGCCUUGGUGGGCAACCCCAGGGCCACCCCACCCCAGAUUGUCAACGGAGACCAGUGCUGUGAGGACUAUGAGCUCUUCGUGGAAGCUGUGGAGCAAAACACACUGCAGAAGUUCCUGAAGCUGGCCUGAAUCGAGCCGGCCCACGGUUCUCCCACUUGACUCCACCACCACACUCCCCUCUAACUGUAGCUCCCUCUCCUCUAUUCAAAGGCAACAUUCCUUACUGACCAGUCGCAGAAAUUGUCUUAAGCAACAGCUCCAAAUGUUGGCUGUCCCCAGCCAGGUCUUGGGGUUGCCACCCUGCCUGGCACUGGCUGAUGGGCACCUCUGUUGGUUCCAUUAGCCAGAGCUCUACCAAAGGUCCCGCAAUCCCCCUCCCAGGAGCACCCUAGAGACAAUUAAAUACCCUUUUCCACUGGCAAAAAAAAAAAAAAAAAAAA